rnacentral:rRNA from 1 species
GGAGUUGAGUCCUGGCUCAGGAUGAACGCUGGCGGCGUGCCUAACACAUGCAAGUCGAACGGGGCGGCGCCGAUGGAAACUUUUCGGAGCGGAAAUUGGCGCUGCCUAGUGGCGGACGGGUGAGUAACGCGUGAGCAACCUGCCCUGCACUGGGGGACAACAGCUGGAAACGGCUGCUAAUACCGCAUAGGCGCACAGCCCCGCAUGGGCGGUGUGGAAAGUAAUAUGGUGCAGGAUGGGCUCGCGUCUGAUUAGCUUGUUGGCGGGGUAACGGCCCACCAAGGCGACGAUCAGUAGCCGGCCUGAGAGGGUGGACGGCCACAUUGGGACUGAGACACGGCCAAGACUCCUACGGGAGGCAGCAGUGGGGGAUAUUGCACAAUGGGGGGAACCCUGAUGCAGCGACGCCGCGUGGGCGAUGGAGUACUUCGGUAUGUAAAGCCCUAUCAGCAGGGAAGAAAAUGACGGUACCUGACUAAGAAGCCCCGGCUAAAUACGUG